AUUGAACGCUGGCGGCAGGCUUAACACAUGCAAGUCGAGCGGAGUGAUGGUGCUUGCACUAUCACUUAGCGGCGGACGGGUGAGUAAUGCUUAGGAAUCUGCCAUUUAGUGGGGGACAACAUUCCGAAAGGAAUGCUAAUACCGCAUACGUCCUACGGGAGAAAGCAGGGGAUCUUCGGACAUUGCGCUAAAUGAUGAGCCUAAGUCGGAUUAGCUAGUUGGUGGGGUAAAGGCCUACCAAGGCGACGAUCUGUAGCGGGUCUGAGAGGAUGGGCCGCCACACUGUGACCGAGACACUGCCCAGACUCCUACGUGAGGCAGCAGUGGGGAAUAUUGGAAGAUGGGCGUAAGCCUGAUCCAGUCAUGCAGCGUGUGUGAAGAAGGCCUUUUGGUUGUAAAGCACUUUAAGCGAGGAGGAGGCUCUCCUAGUUAAUACCUAGGAAGAGUGGACGUUACUCGCAGAAUAAGCACCGGCUAACUCUGUGCCAGCCGCCGCAGUAA
rnacentral:rRNA from 1 species